rnacentral:rRNA from 1 species
AUGCUCCGUUUCCCAUCUAACAAGAGCUCGUCUAACUUCUCUUGGCCCCUGGCUGACGCUUUUAAUGCAUUCAUUAGGGACACGGCUAUUCGUGAGAUUCCUAGGGUUGGCGCCCGUUUCACUUGGUCCAACCACCAAACUCCCCCAAUUCGUUCGAUUCUUGAUAGGGUUUUUGUUUGCUCUAGGUGGGAUUCCUUAUUCCCCCGUGCCAGUCUUAGAGCCCUGGCUUGUGUUGGUUCUGAUCACACCCCCUUGAUUCUUGAUGAUGGUUUGCGCCUAGCGGGCUUUCCGACAUUCCAGUUUGAUGCUUCAUGGCUCCAAGUGGAGGGGUUUAAUGAGUUGGUGGCACAAAAGAUUCUGUCUUUCCUCUCCUCUACUCGACGUUCUUUUAGCCCUAUGGAUGACUGGCAUCAAUGCUCCUAUUUUUUGCGUAGAUUUCUUAGAGGCUGGUCUAAAAACCACUACGCUGAGUCUAGGCGGGACAAAGCUAGGCUGCUGGCUCAAAUUGGCGUUUUAGAUGAUCGCGCCGAUAGUACUGGGCUGUCCUCGUCUGAAUGGCAAACCCGAUAUGGUUUAGAACAGGCGCUACUGGGCAUCCAUAGGCAAGAGGAAGUAUACUGGAAACAACGAGGUACUAUCAACUGGACCUUAAAGGGUGACUCUCCUACGUCUUAUUUUUUUGCGAUUGCUAACGGCAGGCGCCGGAGAUGCAUUAUUGAUAGCCUUUUGAUAGACGGCGUCAGGGUCUCUGACCCAUCGGUGAUCAUGCGGCAUGUGGUUGAUUUCUUCUCUAACCUCCUAGCUGAUAAGCCCGUGCUAGGCUUUAAGUUGGCCUCGACCUUUUGGUCUCCUCUGGACCAGCUGUCGGGUGCUGAUAAUGAGAGUUUACUGAUCCCUUCCACGGAAGAGGAAAUAUUCGAGAUGAUCCAGACUGGCAACCCGAAUGCGACUUCUGGGCCUGAUGGCUUUUCCAUCCCUUUUUUUCGGCAAUUCUGGCCUCAGCUAAAGGGAUUAAUUAUGGCUAUUUCUCAAGGCUUUUGGUUGGGGACUGUUGACAUCUCCAGACUUAACUACGCUGUUCUCACCCUCAUUCCUAAAGUCAAAGGCGCUGACUUGAUAUCCCAAUUUAGACCCAUUGCUUUGAUUAACAAUUUUGCUAAGUUUCCUGCCAAGGGUAUGGCUACUAGGAUUUCUCCGAUCGCCCAUCGGGUUAUUAGCCCCUUCCAAUCCGCGUUCAUUAAGGGGAGAUUCAUUCUGGACGGGGUGCUUUGCCUUCACGAGAUAAUUCAUGACCUUCACUCAAAGCACUCUAAGGUUGUAGUUCUUAAACUUGAUUUUGAAAAAGUGUAUGACUCAGUCAGCUGGAGUUUUCUUCGCCAAGUUCUGUUGGCCAGGGGCUUCGAUGGUGCGGUGGUACACCGCCUGAUGCAACUUAUCUCUGGUGGGCACACGGCGGUGGCUGUCAAUGGCCAGACCAAUAACUUCUUUGCCAACGGUAGGGGCCUAAGGCAAGGAGAUCCAGCGUCUCCCCUGCUUUUCAAUUUUGUGGCUAAUGCCUUAUCUCAUAUUCUGUCUAGGGCUGCGGCUGCUGGUAACAUCUCGCCGGUUAGCUCCCAUCUUAUUCCUAAUGGCAUCUCCCACCUCCAGUACGUGGACGACACCAUCACGAAUAUGAAAUUUCUUCUUCUUUGCUUUAAAGCCUUGUCGGGCCUUAAAAUCAACUUUUCUAACAGUGAGGUCAUUGUGACUGGGGUAUCUGUCUCGGAAGCGCAGAGGGUCGCACAUCUCUUGAACUGCUCGCUAGGGUCCUUUCCUCUCAAAUACUUGGGCCUACCCAUCUCCCGGCUUAAGAUUUUGGCCAAAGAGUUUGCACCGGCUGUUACUAAAGUUGGCAAUAGAGUUUUUCCGUGGCGAGGGCGCUAUAAUUCUCAGGCGGGCAAGGUCGCCCUUACCAACUCCUGCCUUUCCUCUCUCCCGAUGUUUCUAAUGGGCUUCUAUCUUCUAUCAGAUGGGACUCCCACUGGUUUCGAUAAGCACAGGGGUGCCUUUUACUGGAAUUCCUCCGAUAACAAACGCAAAUAUAGGAUGGUUAAAUGGGACCUCAUUUGUAGACCUAAGAACAUGGGGGGCCUUGGCAUCAUUAACACCAGAAUCAUGAAUAAGUGUCUCCUGUUAAAGUGGUGGUGGAAGAUUAUGUCCCUUGAUGAUCGUCCUGCUUGGCUAAACCUUCUCAAAGAUAAAUAUUUUCCCUUCUCGAGUCCUAUGUUCGCUUUCUCUUCUGGUGGCUCUCAAUUUUGGCGCCAGCUUGUUAGUAUUAGACCGAUAUUUCAGUCCCUGGUGAAAUUCGUAGUCCGUAACGGCAAUUCUACGCGUUUUUGGUUAGACUGGUGGGUUGGAGACACCACCCUUGCGGUGGCUUAUCCGACUCUGUUUUCGUUUUGUGAUAACCCUGAGAUCUCUAUCUCUGAGCUCUCGGCCCAGGGGUGGGUUUUAGAUUUCCAGCGCUCUCUUUCCCCUGUGGAGUUGGAAGAAUGGCAACGCCUUACUGCCUGCUUCCCCCUGCUCUCGGAGGAAGAGGACUCCGUUUUUUGGCCUCACACCCCUUCGGGGCGUUUUUCUGUUAAGUCGGCCUAUUCGCGUCUAAUCGCUGGUGUUCGCUCUGACAAGUUUAAACCAGUUUGGUCUGCCCGCAUACCUCCUAAGAUCAAAAUCUUCCUUUGGCAAGCUCUUCAUCGCAAACUCCCUGCGGGUGACCAGAUUAAAAAGAGGAAUGGGCCGGGUUCUGACAGUUGUCAACUGUGUGGCGCCCUAGAGAAUACAAAGCAUAUAUUUUUCCAGUGCUCAUUAGCUAAAUUCAUCUGGAGUUGCAUUAGACUUUGGCUCCAUGUUCCCUGGAACCCUGCCUCUUUUAAGGAUCUUCGGCGAUGUAUCAAUACUCUAGCAGGCCGGUCUAAACGGGUUUUCAUGGUGGGCUGGGCAGCGGUCUAUUGGGCGCUUUGGACUACUAGAAACAAGUUCACUAUUGAACACAUUUUCCCGGCUAACCCUUCAACCCAAACAGCCACACGACCCACAAUCCAAUCCCACCUCUUGCGCGCCGCGCACUCCUGCCCCGCCCCGCCGCCGGUUCCCGCCUCGCCGCCGGUAUCUGCCCCGCUGCCGCGCGCCGCCAACCCCGCCCCUACCCCUACCCCUACCCCAAGUCCCCCCACCCUCACAGCCUUCCACCGCCAGCGACACUCGACGCUGCGGCCAUUGCCGGCUCCCCCAACCCCUGCUACCACGGCGCCGUUGGGAAUCCUCCCCGCCACCUGUUGGAACCGCCCGCCUGGCUCCCGCUGCGAACAUCACCGCCACCUCUCUGUCGAUUCCCACCCCAGCGGAUGGUCCCCUCACCUGCGCUCGCAUCCUCAGACUUUGACCAAAAACAAGCCGGGAUCCGAUAGUGCCCCACAGUUCGCCGGAGUUUCAUCGGCCGGUUCUACGCUUCAGGUAUGUGGACAAGGAGGCUUGAAAUCAUGGUCUUUGUUCUCUGGCAACCUGCAGUUCGUUGGUGACAAAUUGAUUUUUGUUGCAAUGGUUGCUAAAUCCUACGAGGGCCUACAGGUGUUUGAGGCAGGAAGGGUGAUUAGAAUCGAUGAGGAGCAGCAAGAAGCAGCAACCAUUGCCGGCCUAGCUGCUUAUAGGGACAACCAGACGGUGUAUUAGUGUCUCGAUCUAAUUCAUUUAACCACACAUAUCAUCCAUGGAUUGGAGAGAGUGAGAGGCCCAAGAUAAUCCACUUGAUAUUGCAGGUAUAAUGGUGCAAUUCACACAAAUGAACAAGCUUAACAAGAUUGCUUGCAAGGUACUCAAAUGAUUUGAAUUUCAAGCUCUUCUUUUUUCUUGGUUACCAGUCUGUAGUAGAUGAUAAAUAUUGGUGCUCACUUCCUCUGCUAUAAUCAGAUUUUACAGAAAACUAAUAGCUGGUUUCAUUGAACAGAUCUUGCAUGGUUUGCUGCUUAUCUAAUAGUUAGUUUGGUAUGUCUUUGAGAAACAGUAGGCAUUCUUACUAGAUGUAUUUUAUUUUUGUGUUUUUGAUAAUGUACACAACCAUGACAUUUUUCUAGAAUAUUGUUGCUUUCACAAUAAUAAGUUUGAUAACGUUCAUAACCAUGGCAUUCUUACUAUGAUGCAGCAAUGCGCAGCUAGCUAGGUGUAGCUAAUACAAUAAGUUUGCUUUUCACUUCAGAAUUCAGAGGAACUCAACGUUUGUUUUAUAGUUCAAACCAAUUACUGGUAUAUUCCAAAAUGAUAUUGUCUCGUGGUACUAGGUUAUCAAAAUAUAAUCUUCACCAUGGCCAAAGGUAAAUUUCAUUCAGGGUAUUAGUUUGUUUCAUCCACCAAGACAAACAACUGGUGGUAUAUGGCGAUGAGAUGGGCUUCUUCAGCUCUUUAUUUGGCAGUUCUCUUCUCGAUUCCCCUCUCUGUUGUGAUGAAAUUUCAGCAACACAAAUUUGUGGUCUUGUCAGGUAAUCAUGCUGAUUGAGAAAGAAAUGGUACCCCGGGACUAUGUAUUGUACUAAUAUUCAGAAAAAUGUAUGUUUGUAUCUCUUUCAGGUCUGUGCUAGCUAUUUCUUUGAACGAUAGACAAUAUGUGCAAAAGGAUGAUGCCCAUACGGCUAAAUUUCUCUUUUGUAGGUUUAAUAAAAUGGUCUUCUGUGGGCUACAAACCAAAGCUUGCUUGCAUACACUCUGGUACUGUGCUGAGUAACCAUCAGUUGCUGAAUCCAUUCUCUUGUGAAUACUACUACUGUAUCUCUCUCAUCUCUUGUGUUGAGUGAGCGCUUGCGACGGGACAUAAAAGAACAAAGAGCACAUGAAGUGUACAAAUGAAGUCACAAUGAGCUAAUGUAGAGCGGCUGACGAUCAGAUGAUUUCGGGUCCGUGCUACCUAUUUCUCAUUUUAAGCUAUUCCUUCAGGACACAUGAUUACACUACAUUACAAGCUGAAAAAAUGUGCAAAGUUGAAGUUGGUACUAAAGCGGAUUGCUCUUUUUGAUC